rnacentral:tRNA from 1 species
GGAGCGGUAGCUCAGCCUGGGAGAGCGCCGGACUGAAGAUCCGGGAAUUCUCGCAAAAGGAACCCUCCA